AACGAACGCUGGCGGCAGGCUUAACACAUGCAAGUCGAACGCCCCGCAAGGGGAGUGGCAGACGGGUGAGUAACACGUGGGGAUCUGCCCAAUGGUACGGAAUAAUUCCGGGAAACUGGGACUAAUACCGUAUGUGCCCGCAAGGGGAAAGAUUUAUCGCCAUUGGAUGAACCCGCGUCGGAUUAGCUAGUUGGUGAGGUAAAGGCUCACCAAGGCGACGAUCCGUAGCUGGUCUGAGAGGAUGAUCAGCCACACUGGGACUGAGACACGGCUCAGAGUCCUACGGGAGGCAGCAGUGGGGAAUAUUGGACAAUGGGCGCAAGCCUGAUCCAGCCAUGCCGCGUGAGUGAUAAAGACCUUAGGGUUGUAAAGCUCUUUCGCCGACGAAGAUAAUGACGGUAGUCGGAGAAGAAGCCCCGGCUAACUUCGUGCCAGCCGCCGCCGUAAUAC
rnacentral:rRNA from 1 species